AGAAGGAAGAGCAGGUUUCUCACGGCAUGUCAGCCCAGGGCUCCCACAUGUGGCCUCCCACCCUCAUCUUCACACAUUCUCACACCUUCCGGAGUACAGAGGCGAGUGGGGUGCAGAUGGUCCUCCCUACAUCGGGUGAGACUGAUAGAGACAGAACGGGGGAGGGUAUGACAGAGAUCCAGCCACAGAGAAGGGCAGAACUAGAAAAGAUGGGACUUGAGAUGAAACAAAGAGAGAGACAGAAACCAAGAGAAAGAAACCGGGAAGACAAGCAAAGAGACAGGUAGAAAUAGACGGAGAAUUCCUUCUGCUUCCUCCUGGCAGAUUGCACUUGGGGGGCAACCUGGCUGUCCCAGGCCACCAGGGAAGCCCACAUGGCCUGUUGGGUUGGCUUUGUCCCGAAUUGCCUGGAAGUUCAUCUUCUGUCUAGCCUUAGAUCUUGUUGCUAAAUAAUUUGGGGGACAAGGACGUGAGAAUCCCCUCAGCCAGGAGUCAGUCUAUAUGCAGUGGCAGGGGUCUAGACAGAGUCCCCAGAGCCAGGGGUGUUGGGAGAAGCCCCGAGAGGCAGCCCCUCUCCACUCUGAACCCGGGACUCAUUAGGCAAGCCAGUUUCAGCCAAGGUCGGGGGCCCUCGUGUGGCACCCCCACAGAAUAGCAGCGGUGAUACUGAACCCUAGAGCCCCUGACUGUGGGCUCCACCCAGGCAAGAGCCAAUGGAACUGGAGG
rnacentral:lncRNA from 1 species